rnacentral:tRNA from 1 species
CCUUCGAUAGCUCAGUUGGUAGAGCGGUGGACUGUAGAGAGCGCUGUGAGCGAUUAAUCGUAGAUAUCCAUAGGUCGCUGGUUCAAAUCCGGCUCGAAGGA